rnacentral:rRNA from 1 species
GACGUAGGGCGCAAGCGUUGUCCGGAUUUAUUGGGCGUAAAGAGCUCGUAGGCGGCCUGUCGCGUCGACCGUGAAAACCCGCAGCUCAACUGCGGGCUUGCGGUCGAUACGGGCAGGCUGGAGUUCGGUAGGGGAGACUGGAAUUCCUGGUGUAGCGGUGAAAUGACGCAGAUAUCAGGAGGAACACCGGUGGCGAAGGCAGAUCUCUGGGCCGUAACUGACGCUGAGGAGCGAAAGCAUGGGGAGCGAACAGG